rnacentral:rRNA from 1 species
UACAGAGGGUGCGAGCGUUAAUCGGAAUUACUGGGCGUAAAGCGCACGUAGGUGGCGACGUAAGUCGGGUGUGAAAGCCCCGGGCUCAACCUGGGAAUUGCAUUCGAGACUGCAUUGCUGGAGUACGGAAGAGGAGGGCGGAAUUCCCGGUGUAGCGGUGAAAUGCGUAGAUAUCAGGAGGAACACCGGUGGCGAAGGCGGCUACCUGGACAGAAACUGACGCUGAGGCGCGAAAGCUAGGGGAGCAAACAGG